GGAAGCGCCUCUGCGACUGGUGUGCGGCUCGGUCUUCAAAACCGAUGGGGCUCCGCGCGAGCGGCGGCCCGGCGGGUUCGAUUCCCGUGCGCUUCCG
rnacentral:tRNA from 1 species